rnacentral:rRNA from 1 species
CACGUACUGUGCGAACGUUAUUCGGAAUCACUGGGCUUAAAGGGUGCGUAGGCGGCGAUUCAAGUCAGAUGUGAAAUGCCUGAGCUUAACUGAGGCACUGCGUUUGAAACUGAAUUGCUUGAGUAUUUCAGGGGUGUGCGGAACUGCCAGUGGAGCGGUGAAAUGUGUUGAUAUUGGCAGGAACACCGGAGGCGAAAGCGGCACACUGGGGAAUAACUGACGCUGAGGCACGAAAGCCAGGGGAGCGAAC